rnacentral:rRNA from 1 species
GACGAACCGUGCGAACGUUGUUCGGAUUCACUGGGCUUAAAGGGCGCGUAGGCGGCUUGCCAAGUCAGGGGUGAAAUCUUUCGGCUCAACCGGAAAAGUGCUUCUGAUACUGGCAGGCUGGAGGGAGGUAGGGGCAGAUGGAACUUCCGGUGGAGCGGUGAAAUGCGUUGAGAUCGGAAGGAACGCCCGUGGCGAAAGCGAGGCCCUGGACCCUUUCUGACGCUGAGACGCGAAAGCCAGGGGAGCGAACGGG